rnacentral:rRNA from 1 species
AUUGAACGCUGGCGGCAGGCCUAACACAUGCAAGUCGAACGAGUGGCGGACGGGUGAGUAAUGUCUGGGAAACUGCCUGAUGGAGGGGGAUAACUACUGGAAACGGUAGCUAAUACCGCAUACCAUCAGAUGUGCCCAGAUGGGAUUAGCUUGUUGGUGGGGUAACGGCUCACCAAGGCGACGAUCCCUAGCUGGUCUGAGAGGAUGACCAGCAAACCUGGAACUGAGACAGGGUCCAGAUCCCUAGGGGGGGAAGCAGUGGGAAAUAUUGAACAAUGGGCGCAAGCCGGAAGCAGCCAGGCGGGGUGUAUGAAGAAGGCCUUCGGUUUGUAAAGUACUUUCAGCGGGGAGGCGUUACCCGCAGAAGAAGCACCGGCUAACUCCGUGCCAGCAGCCGCGUAAUAC